rnacentral:rRNA from 1 species
GCUUGUCUCAAAGAUUAAGCCAUGCACGUCUAAGUAUAAGCGAUUAUACUGUGAAACUGCGAAUGGCUCAUUAUAUCAGUUAUAGUUUAUUUGAUGGUCCUUGCUACUUGGAUAACCGUAGUAAUUCUAGAGCUAAUACAUGCGCAAAUACCCAACUGCUUGUCGGACGGGUAGCAUUUAUUAGAUUGAAACCAAUGCAGUCUUCGGGCUGGUAUUGUGUUGAGUCAUAAUAACUGUGCGGAUCGCGUUUUACGCGAUAAAUCGAUUGAGUUUCUGCCCUAUCAGCUUUGGAUGGUAGGGUAUUGGCCUACCAUGGCUUUAACGGGUAACGGAGAAUUAGGGUUCGAUUCCGGAGAGGGAGCCUGAGAAACGGCUACCACAUCCAAGGAAGGCAGCAGG